GCUAAAUGGUUAAACAAGUCACAUGACCUUUUCUGCUUCUGUGGCUCUAGGGGUCAGUGGGGCCUCCAGGAUCUAAGGGUCCUCCUGGAGAGAAAGGUAGACGAGGAGCUGCUGGACCUCCAGGGGACCUAGGAAAUAAAGGUCAGCUAGGGCCAAAGGGCAAGAAUGGCUUUCCUGGGAAAAAAGGCAACACAGGCAUGGCUGGAAAAACAGGAGCUCAAGGCCCAAAAGGAAAACGAGGCCCUCCUGGGGAACCAGGAAAACCUGUAAGUAUCCAUGUCAGAAUUGCCAAUUCAGAACAUCAAUUCAAAGCCUUACACAUUAUCUGA
ensembl:lncRNA